rnacentral:miRNA from 1 species
CCCGUCGUCCCCCUUCCAAGCCCCUGGUCCUGGGUCUGCCAGCCCCAGCCCCAGUGCCGCAUGGGCAGCUGUUGGCCCAGGGCCUGGCAUUUAGGGAGAGCUCAGCAAGUGCCAGCUG